ACUUGGGCAGGAGGGACCCUGUAUG
rnacentral:miRNA from 1 species